GACCAAGGAGUCUAACACGCGCGCAAGUCGCAGGGCCGUACGAAACCCGAAGGCGCAACGAAAGUGAAGGCCGCUCUCGAGAGCGGCUCGGGCGGGAUCCGCGGCGGAGAAAUUUGCCGCGGCGCACCGCCGGCCCGUCUCGGCCGCGACGUCGGCGAGGCGGAGCAAGAGCGCGCGCGUUGGGACCCGAAAGAUGGUGAACUAUGCCCGAGCAGGACGAAGCCAGAGGAAACUCUGGUGGAGGUCCGCAGCGAUUCUGACGUGCAAAUCGAUCGUCGAACUUGGGUAUAGGGGCGAAAGACUAAUCGAACCGUCUAGUAGCUGGUUCCUGUCGAAGUUUCCCUCAGGAUAGCUGGCGCUCGUUGCAGUUUUAUCCGGUAAAGCGAAUGAUUAGAGGCCUUGGGGACGAAACGACCUCAACCUAUUCUCAAACUUUAAAUGGGUAAGAAGUCCGACUCGCUCGAUCGGAGCCGGGCCGUUGCGAAUGCGAGUGCCAAGUGGGCCACUUUUGGUAAGCAGAACUGGCGCUGUGGGA
rnacentral:rRNA from 1 species